AAUAAAUAAAAAAUAAUCCUAAAGAAAUAUUAAAAAUAAAAAUCUUAAUGUAACCUUAAUUGAAAUCUUAAUUGAAUCUUAAUCAAAUCCAAGGUCAAAUCCUAAUAAAACCAUAGACAAAUCUUAAUCAAAUCUUAAUCAAGUUUUAAAUCAAAUCCUAAUCCUAAUCAAAUCCAAGAUCAAAUCCUAAGCCCUAACUAAACCAUAGACAAAUUCUAAAUCAAAUCCUAAGUCCUAAUCAAACCAUAUACAAAUUCUAAAUCAAAUCCUAAGCCCUAAUCAAACCAUAUACAAAUUCUAAAUCAAAUCCUAAUCAAAUCCUA
rnacentral:lncRNA from 1 species